rnacentral:rRNA from 1 species
CGGCGGACGGGUGAGUAACGCGUGGGUAACCUGCCUCGUACAGGGGGAUGACAGUUGGAAACGGCUGCUAAUACCGCAUAAGCGCACAGUACCGCAUGGUACGGUGUGAAAAACUCCGGUGGUAUGAGAUGGACCCGCGUCUGAUUAGGUAGUUGGUGGGGUAACGGCCUACCAAGCCGACGAUCAGUAGCCGACCUGAGAGGGUGACCGACCACAUUGGGACUGAGACACGGCCCAA